GAGUGGCGAACGGGUGAGUAACACAUCGGAACGUGUCCAGUUGUGGGGGAUAACCCAUCGAAAGGUGGGCUAAUACCGCAUGAUGCAACAGCAAAGCAGGGGACUCGAAAGGGCCUUGUGCGAUUGGAGCGGCCGAUGUCCGAUUAGCUAGUUGGUGGGGUAAAGGCCCACCAAGGCGACGAUCGGUAGCUGGUCUGAGAGGAUGAUCAGCCACACUGGGACUGAGACACGGCCCAGACUCCUACGGGAGGCAGCAGUGGGGAAUUUUGGACAAUGGGGGCAACCCUGAUCCAGCCAUGCCGCGUGAGUGAAGAAGGCCUUCGGGUUGUAAAGCUCUUUCGGUGGGAACGAAACGGUUACAGCUAACACCUGUGACUAAUGACGGUACUCACAGAAGAAGCACCGGCUAACUACGUGCCAGCAGCCGCGGUAAUACGUAGGGUGCGAGCGUUAAUCGGAAUUACUGGGCGUAAAGCGUGCGCAGGCGGUUACUUAAGUCAGGUGUGAAAGCCCUGGGCUUAACCUAGGAAUUGCGCUUGAGACUGGGUAGCUUGGAGUGUGGCAGAGGGAGGUGGAAUUCCACGUGUAGCAGUGAAAUGCGUAGAGAUGUGGAGGAACACCGAUGGCGAAGGCAGCCUCCUGGGCCAGCAC
rnacentral:rRNA from 1 species